AUAAGAAUACGUCGAGCGAGUCGGUCGGUCGGCGCGCUCGCUCGCUUCGUGCGGACGAGGCGCGAUGCGGCUGUGUGCGUGGGCGGCGGCGUGUGCGUGGGCCGUCGCCCCGCGCCCCGCCGCGUCCACCGAACGUAGCUUUCUGUUCGCUUAUAUAACGACAUACAUAUAUAUGCGCGUUUUAAGUUUGAAGUCACACAUCGCAUGUCAAUGACUCAAGACCUUCGGAGCUUAGUGCGCAAUGGACAGGCAACAGAAAAACUGAUUGUGUUCCUAUAUCGUACGAAUUCCUGGUAGUGUAAACCGACGUAGAAAAAGAAGACGGCGAAAUUAUCUUUCGAUAACUAAACUUAUUAUGACCGAGACUGAUUCGCGAAUACUUUUUACUAUUAAAAUAUUGCAACCUGUUAUUCAUGUUGUGAAUAUUAAUAACGAAAUUUCAUUCUUUUAUAUUUUCUGUAAUUUUUUCGACCGUAAUUUUAAUAAAAUACAAGGAAAAUCGUUA